rnacentral:rRNA from 1 species
GACGUAGGGCGCGAGCGUGUCCGGAUUUAUUGGGCGUAAAGAGCUCGUAGGCGGCUUGUCGCGUCGAAUGUGAAAUCUCAGGGCUCAACUCUGACAUUGCAUUCGAUACGGGCAGGCUAGAGUUCGGUAGGGGAGACUGGAAUUCCUGGUGUAGCGGUGAAAUGCGCAGAUAUCAGGAGGAACACCGGUGGCGAAGGCGGGGUCUCUGGG